rnacentral:rRNA from 1 species
GGAGUUAUCAGAAGUGAGAAUGCUGACAUGAGUAACGAUAAAGGGGGUGAAAAACCCCCUCGCCGGAAGACCAAGGUUUCCUGUCCCAUGCUAAUCAGGGCAGGGUUAGUCGGCCCCUAAGGCGAGGCCGAAAGGCGUAGUCGAUGGGAACCACGUUAAUAAUCGUGGGCCUGGUGGUAGUGACGGAUCUCGUGUGUUGUAUCUCCUUAUUGGAUUGGAGGUGCAGCGAAGAGGUUCCAGGAAAUAGCUCCACCGUAUAAACCGUACCCGAAACCGACACAGGUGGUCAGGUAGAGAAUACCAAGGCGCUUGAGAGAACGAUGUUGAAGGAACUCGGCAAAAUACCUCCGUAAGUUCGCGAGAAGGAGGCCCGGUUCCUAGGCAACUAGGGGCUGGGGGCACAAACCAGGGGGUGGCGACUGUUUAUUAAAAACACAGGGCUCUGCGAAGUCGUAAGACGACGUAUAGGGUCUGACGCCUGCCCGGUGCCGGAAGGUUAAGAGGAGAGGUGCAAGCUUUGAAUCGAAGCCCCGGUAAACGGCGGCCGUAACGAUAACGGUCCUAAGGUAGCGAAAUUCCUUGUCGGGUA